GAACGGGUGAGUAACACGUGGGCAAUCUGCCCUUCACUCUGGGACAAGCCCUGGAAACGGGGUCUAAUACCGGAUAACACUCUGUCCCGCAUGGGACGGGGUUGAAAGCUCCGGCGGUGAAGGAUGAGCCCGCGGCCUAUCAGCUUGUUGGUGGGGUGAUGGCCUACCAAGGCGACGACGGGUAGCCGGCCUGAGAGGGCGACCGGCCACACUGGGACUGAGACACGGCCCAGACUCCUACGGGAGGCAGCAGUGGGGAAUAUUGCACAAUGGGCGAAAGCCUGAUGCAGCGACGCCGCGUGAGGGAUGACGGCCUUCGGGUUGUAAACCUCUUUCAGCAGGGAAGAAGCGAAAGUGACGGUACCUGCAGAAGAAGCGCCGGCUAACUACGUGCCAGCAGCCGCGGUAAUACGUAGGGCGCAAGCGUUGUCCGGAAUUAUUGGGCGUAAAGAGCUCGUAGGCGGCUUGUUGCGUCGGUUGUGAAAGCCCGGGGCUUAACCCCGGGUCUGCAGUCGAUACGGGCAGGCUAGAGUGUGGUAGGGGAGAUCGGAAUUCCUGGUGUAGCGGUGAAAUGCGCAGAUAUCAGGAGGAACACCGGUGGCGAAGGCGGAUCUCUGGGCCAUUACUGACGCUGAGGAGCGAAA
rnacentral:rRNA from 3 species